UGAGGAAUAUUGGUCAAUGGACGCAAGUCUGAACCAGCCAAGUAGCGUGCAGGAUGACGGCCCUAUGGGUUGUAAACUGCUUUUAUAUGGGGAUAAAGUGAGGGACGUGUCCCUUAUUGCAGGUACCAUACGAAUAAGGACCGGCUAAUUCCGUGCCAGCAGCCGCGGUAAUACGGAAGGUCCAGGCGUUAUCCGGAUUUAUUGGGUUUAAAGGGAGCGUAGGCUGUUUGUUAAGCGUGUUGUGAAAUGUAAGAGCUCAACUUUUAGAUUGCAGCGCGAACUGGCAGACUUGAGUGCGCACAACGUAGGCGGAAUUCAUGGUGUAGCGGUGAAAUGCUUAGAUAUCAUGACGAACUCCGAUUGCGAAGGCAGCUUACGGGCGCGCAACUGACGCUAAAGCCCGAAGGUGCGGGUAUCGAACAGG
rnacentral:rRNA from 1 species